GGGUUUUAACACUUUUUCCGUGUUUGUAGUUCUAAUCGAAUCUUCGGCCAGGUGUGAUGGGUUGUGGGUAAUAUUAGCUGUUAGAUAGAACAUCUGGGUACCUUUGGGAUACUAGGUAGCCUACAAUUUUGAAUACUAUCUAGGAUGGAUGGUAUGUAAAUUGGGACUUAGCAAAUGUAGCUCACAAUGUUACACUUGUGUGUCUGUGUAUGCUACAUUUGUACAUUAGUAUUUCAGAAAAA